rnacentral:rRNA from 1 species
AGGCUUACGGGAGGCAGCAGUGGGGAAUAUUGGGCAAUGGGCGCAAGCCUGACCCAGCAACGCCGCGUGAAGGAAGAAGGCUUUCGGGUUGUAAACUUCUUUUAUGAGGGACGAAAGAAAUGACGGUACCUCAUGAAUAAGCCACGGCUAACUACGUGCCAGCAGCCGCGGUAAUACGUAGGUGGCAAGCGUUAUCCGGAUUUACUGGGUGUAAAGUGCGUGUAGGCGGGACUGCACGUCAGCUGUGACAAUUAUGGGCUCAACCCAUAACCUGCAUUUGACACUGUAGUUCUUUAGUGAUGGAG